CCUACGGGAGGCAGCAGUGGGGAAUAUUGCACAAUGGGGGAAAGGCUGAUGCAGCGACGCCGCGUGAGGGAAGAAGUAUCUCGGUAUGUAAAGCUCUAUCAGCAGGGGAGAAAAGGACGGUACCUGACCAAGAAGCACCGGCUAACUACGUGCCACAAGCCGCGGGAAUACGUAGGGGGCCAGGGUUAUACGGAUUAACUGGGGGUAAAGGGAGCGUAGACGGUUAUGUAAGUCUGGAGUGAAAGCCCGGGGCCAAACCCCGGGCCUGCUUUGGAAACUGUGUAACUGGAGUACAGGAGGGGCAGGCGGAAUUCGUGGUGUAGCGGUGAAAUGCGUAGAUAUCAGGCGGAACACCGGCGGCGAAGGCGGCCUGCUGGACUGAAACUGACGUUGAGGCUCGAAAGCGUGGGGAGCAAACAGGAUUAGAUACCCUUGUAGUC
rnacentral:rRNA from 1 species